UAGAUCCAUCUUCCUCUUCUCAUCCUCUCACCACUUACCAACCGAGCAGAACAAAACAGAGCCUCCAUCCGAAGCAGCACUGCACCAUACUGUUCUAGUAAGAACCCUAGAUCCAUCAAACUCUGCUCACCCACGCUACCCCUCUUAUCGCCGCCCCAUAUUCUCGGCAUCUGACAUGUUCAUCACCUGCUUGCCCUCUCCUGCUACGAGCCGUCCGCACGUCAGCAGCCUUCAUGGACCCGAUGAAGAUGGGGAUCACCCAGGCCUCGACCUUUCCUCCUUGGACCCCGCUUGCCCGACCCCAAGUUCCAGGACUUCAGUUCAAAUUUUUUGUUCAAUUAUAUAUACAUUCAACGAUUUUAACCGCAGACUUGUAGUGGAAAUUGGUUAUGGUGGCAUGUUGCCACUACCCGCUAUUUCUAAGCUCAAUUUGAAAUUUAGCACAUGGCUCAUGAGAAUGGUAGAUGGGCCAAACAGAUGCAUCAAACUAUCUCAUGACAGAUCUAUUAGGUUCUGGCUAGGGGAUAUACACAAAGUUUUCGGUAUCCCAUGUGGCAAGCUAGACAUACACAACCUUGAAUAUCAAAAAACCGAAAGUUCAGUUCAGUUUUUUAGAUCCGUGUUGGGUAUGCCUGACAAAGGGAAUCAAGUGCUGAAAUGUGUUGAAAUGGUUAUAAUGAAAGAUCUGAAUGAAUCAACUUCCAGUAAUUUAGAGAUUGACUGUUUCGAGAUGGCUUUCGUGAUGUUUUACAUGGGCCACAUCCUGACACCGUCCAGUAAACAUGAUCAUGCCAUCAUUGAUUACUAGUAAACUAUUGCAAACACGGAUAAAAUUAUGGACUUCAACUUGUGUGAUUAUGUGUUUGCUGAUUUACUGGCGGCUUGCUGGAAAGUAAAGCAAGACAUUCAAAAUAAUAGACCUGUUACUCACUUGAUGGGAUGCCAUCUUUUUUCCAGAUUUUCUAUCUCGACAACCUAGACCUUGGCAUGCUAAACCUCCCUCACAAUUCAUACCCACGAAUAUCCUGUUUCGACGAAUCAAGAAUCGGGAAGAUGAUCAUCCAGUGCACUAAAAUUGGCCCUGGGCCCCCCUGACUUCUUCCUGGGCCAGAUCCGUCACCAUUCUCAGAUAUGCUACAUACGCUCCGUUUGGGAUUCAAAGACUGAUGCAAAUACCUCCUCAUCAAAGAAACCAGUUAUUCCGCCCAAAAAAACGACCGUUACAGAUAGCCCUCAACCUGGUUUUGCUGGAACUUCUUCAUUCUUGACUAACAUCCCUACGCCUUCGAAAUUCAGCAGCAUCCUCAAGUCUAACUACCCACAAUUGGCACAUUCUGAGCUGUGCAUACUCCUCAAUCAGCACAACGUUGUUUCCUUUAAAGCCUGCAAUGAAUUGAAGCGAUCCGUUCAUGAAGAGAACACUCGAUUUCUUCACAUCCUUGUGUCCACCUUAUCUAAAAGUUGCCUCUGUUGCACGCUCCGUGGUACAACAUGCAUUGCACAAGAACUGCAGCCAGCUGAAACCCCUCUUAUAUCUAAUUUGUACUGUCAUUCCAAGCAACAGUCUAAGUCUGAAGGUGCCACCUUCGCAGCACCAAAGGAUAAACAUAAGGUUGCCACUUUGUCUCACAUUAUCAACGAGGUCACACCCUCACACAAGAAAAGCAAGAUAAAUUCAUAUGACGCCGAUGACGAUGUUACCCCCAAGAACUCAAAAUUGCAACCACAACCUGAAGAGUCAAAAUGUUGGGCUGACAGCCUAAUAGGCGGCAUCCUCAUGUUCACCGAUGAGAUAGACCCCCUGAAGAUGUUGUCCUAUUUGCUUAGAUCUCACCAUUCAAGCCCACCCCCAUAUCUACCUUGCACACCUCUUAUGCUGGUUCUCAUUGGACUGAUGGUAGAUUACACAUUCAUCCACCAACUGACGUUCUAAUCGCUAUUGACUCAUAUCUUGGAAACUACCCAGCAAGUGAACUUAGCUGCCCGUGGAUUACACAUGCCAGUCCCCAUUAUUGCUCUCUUACUGGUAACACUAUCGUUGACCAGUUGUAUGGAUGCAAGCUUCUUGAUCACGAAGCUUGUUGUCUCAUAUUUCGCCGUUUGAAUCAGAUUGAUAACCAUUCGCUAUACCCUGGAUCCACCCCCAAAUGGCGUUGUUACAUCGAAGUUGAUUUCUCGUUGUACUCGCUGGAGAUAAUGUAUGGGACAUGGUAUCUAUUCAGAAACAAUUCAUCCCACAAAAUAUAAGCCAACAACUCCCGAACACGCGCCUAGUAAAUAUCUCAUCUUAAAACGUUCCACUUCUGCAUAGGAAGAAAAAUUAUUAACAUUUUCAUUUUUAAGUUCAUUAUCCCAGCCUACCUUCAGUAUGGAUGGAGUGUGUAUUGUUGGGACAUGAAGAGGAAGAUCAUCCACAUGUGCGAUCCACUGGCUGAUGCAUGUUCUUACACUGCCCAAAAAGCCAGCCAUGUAAUUAUUGCUGACAACCUUCACAAUGCCCUCUUCACCUGUUUGAACAAGUUUUUCAAAUCAUGGCAUGUUGAAUCAGCUAAUUGGAAGAAAAACUUCCAGUUUCUUUCCGCCACAUUGUUUGACCGCAAUGAGAGUGGCGACUGUAUGAUUCACAUGGCUCGUUACUUCAACGGCAUCGGUCUUGCUACAAAGCUAAACAAUGAAACACUUGUUCAUGAGAAGAAACUCAUGGUGGCCGAGUUACUGCAGUUAGAUGGCAACCUCGCCAGCCUCCGAGCAACGCUCAAAACAAUCUUGCAUGGAUAGUAUAAGGAAGAAUAGUUCUUUGAACAAGUAUUCCGUGAUGCCUCCUCAUCCAAGAUGCCUAGUGAUCUGCCCAUCGGUUCAAGAUUGCUAAGAUUUGCAGACCCCCUCCAGCCCCUUGACCAAGCGCAAUAGAAAGUGUGACAAGUUCAGAGACUGUUAUUUCUUCAGUUACAUCGUGAAGUCUCAGUAUGCUUCGCACAUCUUUGAUUUCACUAUGGCUUGGGGCACCUUCAGAAAUUGGAAUCGUUAUUGAACCACCCAUUCUCUUCCCAGUUAUGUUUGCUACCGCAGUUUCUGUAAUAUGAACUAUGUCACAAUCAUCUACGCCAAUUCUCAUAGCACGGUCAUCAAGCAUGACAUUAAGCAUUAACCAAGCUGAAUGAUUAAGAUAGUUCAAGAUACAUUUUUUGCAGAUCCGAUGCUGUGAAUCUGCCCCGUCCCUUCGAAAUGUUACCAACACCACUGAACGCUCCUUUUGUGCUUGCACACUCUUCUAUUGGAUAUGAGUCCUUAGCAACAUCUAUCGGGCUACUGCUACUCAAUACAUCACCACGGAAUAACUCUCUCUUAUCGUCUUCUUCUUUAGAUCUGCCAGUUUCUAGCACAACCUGAACAGUAUUUCUCCAAAGAUUACUCAUGUGACCGGGCUACAUUUCUAAGCAUAUCUAACAUACAAAUGGAGAAUAUGUUACCUUA